rnacentral:rRNA from 1 species
AGCGAACGCUGGCGGCAGGCUUAACACAUGCAAGUCGAGCGGGCACUUUCGGGUGUCAGCGGUGGACGGGUGAGUAACGCGUGGGAACGUGCCCUCUGGUUCGGAAUAACUCAGGGAAACUUGAGCUAAUACCGGAUACGCCCUUUUGGGGAAAGGCUUGCUGCCGGAGGAUCGGCCCGCGUCUGAUUAGCUAGUUGGUGAGGUAACGGCUCACCAAGGCGACGAUCAGUAGCUGGUCUGAGAGGAUGAUCAGCCACACUGGGGCUGAGACACGGCCCAGACUCCUACGGGAGGCAGCAGUGGGGAAUAUUGGACAAUGGGCGCAAGCCUGAUCCAGCCAUGCCGCGUGAGUGAUGAAGGCCUUAGGGUUGUAAAGCUCUUUUAUCCGGGACGAUAAUGACGGUACCGGAGGAAUAAGCCCCGGCUAACUUCGUG